rnacentral:rRNA from 3 species
UCUCCUGGAAACGGGUGGUAAUGCCGGAUGCUCCAGUUGAUCGCAUGGUCUUCUGGGAAAGCUUUCGCGGUAUGGGAUGGGGUCGCGUCCUAUCAGCUUGACGGCGGGGUAACGGCCCACCGUGGCUUCGACGGGUAGCCGGCCUGAGAGGGCGACCGGCCACAUUGGGACUGAGAUACGGCCCAGACUCCUACGGGAGGCAGCAGUGGGGAAUAUUGCACAAUGGGCGCAAGCCUGAUGCAGCGACGCCGCGUGAGGGAUGGAGGCCUUCGGGUUGUAAACCUCUUUUAUCGGGGAGCAAGCGAGAGUGAGUUUACCCGUUGAAUAAGCACCGGCUAACUACGUGCCAGCAGCCGCGGUAAUACGUAGGGUGCAAGCGUUAUCCGGAAUUAUUGGGCGUAAAGGGCUCGUAGGCGGUUCGUCGCGUCCGGUGUGAAAGUCCAUCGCUUAACGGUGGAUCCGCGCCGGGUACGGGCGGGCUUGAGUGCGGUAGGGGAGACUGGAAUUCCCGGUGUAACGGUGGAAUGUGUAGAUAUCGGGAAGAACACCA